rnacentral:rRNA from 1 species
UGGGGAAUAUUGGACAAUGGGCGCAAGCCUGAUCCAGCCAUGCCGCGUGAGUGAUGAAGGCCCUAGGGUUGUAAAGCUCUUUCACCGGUGAAGAUAAUGACGGUAACCGGAGAAGAAGCCCCGGCUAACUUCGUGCCAGCAGCCGCGGUAAUACGAAGGGGGCUAGCGUUGUUCGGAUUUACUGGGCGUAAAGCGCACGUAGGCGGACUAUUAAGUCAGGGGUGAAAUCCCGGGGCUCAACCCCGGAACUGCCUUUGAUACUGGUAGUCUGGAGUUCGAGAGAGGUGAGUGGAAUUCCGAGUGUAGAGGUGAAAUUCGUAGAUAUUCGGAGGAACACCAGUGGCGAAGGCGGCUCACUGGCUCGAUACUGACGCUGAGGUGCGAAAGCGUGGGGAGCAAACAGG